rnacentral:sRNA from 1 species
ACCAUCUCUAGUACAGGACUGGCAGAGGCAGAUCCGAGCCGAACCCAUUUUCAUUUCAUAAUUUUGAUUCGAGUGCGAAAGGUUAAAGGCAAGCUAAGCAGUUUUCGAGAGUACUUGUGAAAUUUCUGGGCGCUUAAAUUAAGGAUUUAAUUUAAGCGCCUGGAAUGAAAUAUCCCAGCACUCGUACGCACAAUAAACAAAUCGGUUUUUCGACUUGGGCCUUCGCUUACGCAACGCGUGGAUCAAAUUGCACCGCAUCCGCAGGGGCACCACCCAGCAACAAGCCAAAUGUUUUCACGAAUGACAUGAAGGGCGGGGCUCGCCCUGCAAGAAGGAUCGACAGGGGCGGGGGCAAGGAUGAGAAGGACUCGCAAGGGCAAGGACCUUCUAUAGCUGCAUACACCUAGCUUGCCUUGGAGCGCUACAACGACAACAAUUUCUUCCGUUUGACACCAGAUUUGGCCGGAGGAUAGCCACGGCUUGCUCCGUUUUGAUGGGCUUCGGUUCUGCGUGUGGCGAUCUUGCAUUGCUCUUGCGUGAGAGGUCAUGCGAGAAUUCUACAAGAUCCCUACACGUUAAGUGCAGCCCAUCAACACGCAGCAAACGGUGGACAUUCUUAUGCCAAAUUUGGUGUCAAAGGAAAAAAUGUAGGCGUUGUUCCGCUGCCAAAGCAAGCUAAGUUCGUACAGAUAUAGAAGGGCCUCAGCCACAGCGAUACCAGAGACGAAUGCCCCCCCCCUUUGGCUACGCAGCAGAUGAACAUCGUAGAUGGCGAUCGCCGCAGCAACAGCAACAACAGCAGAGACUGUGGAUAUACGAAAUCAUUGAAAUUGUCAUGAAAUAAAUAUGUAUGUACAAACUGUA